GACGAACGCUGGCGGCGUGCUUAACACAUGCAAGUCGAACGGUAAGGCCCUUUCGGGGUGACCUGAGUGGGGAACGGGUGCGUAAGACGUAAGCAACCAGCCCUUGCUUCUGUUUUAACAGUUGUAAACAGCUGCUAAUUAUGGAUAUACAUCAUCUCCUUCCUGGGGGGUGGUGGAAAACUCCGGCGGCCGGGGAUGGUCUCGCGGCCUAUCAGCUUGUUGGUGGGGGAAUGGGUGACCAAGGCUUCGACGGGUAGCCGGCCUGAGAGGGGGACCGGCCACACUGGGACUGAGAUACGGCCCAGACUCCUACGGGAGGCAGCAGUGGGGAAUAUUGCACAAUGGGCGCAAGCCUGAUGCAGCAACGCCGCGUGCGGGAUGACGGCCUUCGGGUUGUAAACCGCUUUCGGUUGGGACGAAGCGUGACUGACGGUACCUACAGAAGAAGGACCGGCUAACUACGUG
rnacentral:rRNA from 1 species